rnacentral:tRNA from 1 species
GGGGAUUUAGCUCAGCGGCAUAAGCGCCUGCCUUGCAAGCAGGCAGUCGUGAGUUCGACCCCUGUUACCCA